AUUGAACGCUGGCGGCAGGCCUAACACAUGCAAGUCGAAUGGUAACAGGAAACAGCUUGCUGUUUCGCUGACGAGUGGCGGACGGGUGAGUAAUGUCUGGGAAACUGCCUGAUGGAGGGGGAUAACUACUGGAAACGGUAGCUAAUACCGCAUAACGUCGCAAGACCAAAGAGGGGGACCUUCGGGCCUCUUGCCAUCUGAUGUGCCCAGAUGGGAUUAGCUAGUAGGUGGGGUAACGGCUCACCUAGGCGACGAUCCCUAGCUGGUCUGAGAGGAUGACCAGCCACACUGGAACUGAGACACGGUCCAGACUCCUACGGGAGGCAGCAGUGGGGAAUAUUGCACAAUGGGCGCAAGCCUGAUGCAGCCAUGCCGCGUGUAUGAAGAAGGCCUUCGGGUUGUAAAGUACUUUCAGCGGGGAGGAAGGGAGUAAAGUUAAUACCUUUGCUCAUUGACGUUACCCGCAGAAGAAGCACCGGCUAACUCCGUG
rnacentral:rRNA from 1 species